rnacentral:rRNA from 1 species
AACAUAGCCCUUAGAAUAAAAUUAAAGGUGCAACCUGCCCUAUGGUUCUAAUACCUUUUAUAAAUAGAAGUGAAACUAGAACUAAAUGGCCGCGGUAACUCUGACCGUGAUAAUGUAGCGAAAUCAAUUGUCGUUUAAUUGACGACCAGUAUGAAUGGUUAAACGAAUUUUCCACUGUCUCCAUGAUAAACUUAAUGAAUUUAAAAUAAUAGUGAAGAUGCUAUUUAAUAAUUGUAAGACGAGAAGACCCUAUAGAGCUUAACUAUAACCUUUAACUAAAUGACGGUAAUUUAUCUGUCAAUAUUAAAGGUUGGUAGUUUGGUUGGGGCGACCAUCUUCUAAAUGUAACGAAGAUAAACAAUGAUAGAUAAAAAUUAUUAAUUUAACUGUAUAAUAAAUAUAUUUAACAGGUAUUAAAAUAGGUAAAUUGACCCGUUUAUU